AUUUUUUAAAGCAAAGAAUUAUGAACACUGGGAUUCUUAAAUGCAGUAUAACUUUACCUUUAUGAAAAGGCUCAGUAUUUUUUACUUUCCUUUUUUAAGUGAACUAGCUUUGGGUAUUAUUCUUUUAAAGAUGUGGAGUCUUAUCAACUUCACAGAGUAACAACUAAAUCUCCAAGUUCUUUAGGAAUGGACUUUGAAUGUCUGAGGAAGACUCACAAACCAGAAUUCCAGUUUUACUUUCUUUUUCUAGGGAGAAUAAAGAUUGUACUUCUAAAAAUGUCCCCAGUGAUUUUAGACCAAUAAGCAUUUCCUUUUAUAAACUAUUAGAAACUUCAGAAAUAGAAUUAUUUUGUUUCAUCUCUUUAUUGCCACAAUAUCCAGCCCAAGUUCCACCAUUGUCUGGCUAUCAGUUUUUGGACAAAUGUUGAACCUUUCUAAUCCUCAGUUUCCUCAUGAUAAUUGUACCAUUCUCAUUGAUUAUGGCAAGGGUUAAAAAUAUCCAGCACAGUGUCUAGCCUGGAUCAUUAAGUUUUAGGUAUUAUUUAUACUGUUAUUAUGCUACUGGGGGAGAUAGCAUAACAUGGCGGUUAAUAUGGUGGACUUUAAAGAUAACCUACCUAGGUUCAAACCUUGAUUGCCACUUACUAGUUCUGUGGCCUUGGAGAAUUACUUAUCCUCUUUUGCCUCAGUUUUCUCAUCUGUAAAAGGGAUCUAAUAGGAUCUAUCCAUGGAGUUUUUAUGAGGAUUAAGUGUUUUAGUAUAUAUGAAAACUAUUGAGAAUGGUGUCUAGCAAGUGCUGUAUGUGUGAUUCUUUAAAUCACACAAAAUACUUGGUCCAUAUUUUAAGUAUUAAGUGGAUAAAGUAGUUAUAGAACAAAGCCAAGUCAUGUCACUUUUGUUUCCUUACCUGUGUUAAUAUUUCUUUUUCUUUGGAGUAUUCAGUAACGAGAGGAACUGCAUGCUUUCAGAUUGUUGGCUGAAGAGUACUCAAUUUGACCAGUCCCCAAGGAGGUAGACCCCAGCCAAGAUCAUGGGAAAAGUAUUAUGAUGAUGUCUGUUUUCGCUAAUGGCAUCAAGAAGAAGCUUUCUGAAGUCUUGGUCAGUAUGAUGAAAGAUUCAUGAGUUGUUCCAUUGGCUGAAAGUAAGAGAGCUUAAAAUCAGUCUUUGCUAUUGUUAAAUGCUUUCUCCAAACCUUUGAAGGCCAAAUGAAAGGGGAAUUCUGUUAUUGGCUUUGGCUUGGGCAGAGUUUCUCAACGUUGACACUACUGACAUUUUGGAUUGGAUAAUUCUUUGUGGUGGGGACCGUUCUGUGCAUUGUAGGAGUUCAGCAGCAUUCCUGGCCUUACCCACUAGAUACCAUAACACCUUCCCAGACAUAACAACAACAAAAUGUCUCCCAGUGUCCCCAGUUGCCAGUGGUCCCCUGGAACCCACUUGGGGACAGAACUGCCCCUAAUAGAGAACCCCUGUGUUAGUUGCAUGCUGGGUUUCUAGAAGUAUUUUACGUUGCAGUAUCAUAAAGGAGCAAAUUGUAUGCGUAGACCCAUUCUUCUAACUUUACCUCCCCAGGUUUAACAACAGAACAUCAACCGAAAAGGAGGGGGAAGUUUAUUGCACUCCAUACAAUAAUUCAUAUUAAGCCAUUCUUAAAGUACACGUUUGGGUAGCCAAGGACCUAAAAUUAUCUUCUAUGGGUUUUGAUAAUAACAGCAGUAAAAGAAAGUGUUAGUCACUCAGUCACAUCCAACUCUUUGUGACCCUAUGUACUUGUAGCCUGCCAGGCUCCUCUGACUAUGGGGAUUCUUCAGGCAAGAAUAUUGGAGUGGGUUGCCAUGCCUUUCUCUAGGGGAUCUUUCCAACCCAGGGAUCAAACCCAGGUCUCCUACACUGCAGGCAGAUUCUUUACCAUCUGGGCUACUAGGAAGUUUAAUAACAGCAGCAAUAGCUCUUAUUUAUGCAGGGGUAAUUGCAGUGCCACACCCUGUGCUAAAUCACAUGCUAUUUCACUUGAUCCUUGUAACACAUGUAGACAUUAACUACGUUUUCACACUCAUCAGAUGAGCGUGUGGAAGCUUAGAGCAUUUAAAUACUUUGCCUAAACUUGCACCCUUAGUAAGUAACAGGGUUUGUGUUUAAAUUCAGGUGAUCCCAGCUAGAACUUGUAUAAUGAACUACCUACGCCAUUUCUUCCUGUGUAGACUGGGUUACGGCUGCUCCCAGGGAGGCUCAGUCCACAACUGACACUCAGCACAUUUCUUUCCAGCACUUUCACAUAAUUUAGGUCUCAGUGAGUCACAUCAUAUAAUCGUUUUAUGAGAACAAACUGGCAAAUGGCUA
ensembl:lncRNA